GGGACACGUGGUAUCCUGUCUGAAUAUGGGGGGACCAUCCUCCAAGGCUAAAUACUCCUGACUGACCGAUAGUGAACCAGUACCGUGAGGGAAAGGCGAAAAGAACCCCGGCGAGGGGAGUGAAAAAGAACCUGAAACCGUGUACGUACAAGCAGUGGGAGCACGCUUAGGCGUGUGACUGCGUACCUUUUGUAUAAUGGGUCAGCGACUUAUAUUCUGUAGCAAGGUUAACCGAAUAGGGGAGCCGAAGGGAAACCGAGUCUUAACUGGGCGUUAAGUUGCAGGGUAUAGACCCGAAACCCGGUGAUCUAGCCAUGGGCAGGUUGAAGGUUGGGUAACACUAACUGGAGGACCGAACCGACUAAUGUUGAAAAAUUAGCGGAUGACUUGUGGCUGGGGGUGAAAGGCCAAUCAAACCGGGAGAUAGCUGGUUCUCCCCGAAAGCUAUUUAGGUAGCGCCUCGUGAAUUCAUCUCCGGGGGUAGAGCACUGUUUCGGCAAGGGGGUCAUCCCGACUUACCAACCCGAUGCAAACUGCGAAUACCGGAGAAUGUUAUCACGGGAGACACACGGCGGGUGCUAACGUCCGUCGUGAAGAGGGAAACAACCCAGACCGCCAGCUAAGGUCCCAAAGUCAUGGUUAAGUGGGAAACGAUGUGGGAAGGCCCAGACAGCCAGGAUGUUGGCUUAGAAGCAGCCAUCAUUUAAAGAAAGCGUAAUAGCUCACUGGUCGAGUCGGCCUGCGCGGAAGAUGUAACGGGGCUAAACCAUGCACCGAAGCUGCGGCAGCGACGCUUAUGCGUUGUUGGGUAGGGGAGCGUUCUGUAAGCCUGCGAAGGUGUGCUGUGAGGCAUGCUGGAGGUAUCAGAAGUGCGAAUGCUGACAUAAGUAACGAUAAAGCGGGUGAAAAGCCCGCUCGCCGGAAGACCAAGGGUUCCUGUCCAACGUUAAUCGGGGCAGGGUGAGUCGACCCCUAAGGCGAGGCCGAAAGGCGUAGUCGAUGGGAAACAGGUUAAUAUUCCUGUACUUGGUGUUACUGCGAAGGGGGGACGGAGAAGGCUAUGUUGGCCGGGCGACGGUUGUCCCGGUUUAAGCGUGUAGGCUGGUUUUCCAGGCAAAUCCGGAAAAUCAAGGCUGAGGCGUGAUGACGAGGCACUACGGUGCUGAAGCAACAAAUGCCCUGCUUCCAGGAAAAGCCUCUAAGCAUCAGGUAACAUCAAAUCGUACCCCAAACCGACACAGGUGGUCAGGUAGAGAAUACCAAGGCGCUUGAGAGAACUCGGGUGAAGGAACUAGGCAAAAUGGUGCCGUAACUUCGGGAGAAGGCACGCUGAUAUGUAGGUGAAGUCCCUCGCGGAUGGAGCUGAAAUCAGUCGAAGAUACCAGCUGGCUGCAACUGUUUAUUAAAAACACAGCACUGUGCAAACACGAAAGUGGACGUAUACGGUGUGACGCCUGCCCGGUGCCGGAAGGUUAAUUGAUGGGGUUAGCGCAAGCGAAGCUC
rnacentral:rRNA from 1 species